rnacentral:rRNA from 1 species
ACUCCUACGGGAGGCAGCAGUGGGGAAUAUUGCACAAUGGGCGCAAUGCCUGAUGCAGCCAUGCCGCGUGUAUGAAGAAGGCCUUCGGGUUGUAAAGUACUUUCAGCAGUGAGGAAGGCGGUACGUUAAUAGCGUGCUCGUUUGACGUUAGCUGCAGAAGAAGCACCGGCUAACUCCGUGCCAGCAGCCAGCGGUAAUUACGGAGGGUGCGAGCGUUAAUCGGAAUUACUGGGCGUAAAGCGCAUGCAGGUGGUUUGUUAAGUC